UGGCUCAGAACGAACGCUGGCGGCGUGCCUAAUGCAUGCAAGUCGCACGCGCGGUGCUUCGGCAUCGUGAGUGGCGCACGGCUGAGGAACACGUGGGAACCUGCCUCCUUGUGGGGGACAACAGCGCGAAAGCGCUGCUAAUCCCGCAUACGCUCUCUCACGAGAGGAAAGCCUUACGGCGCAGGGAGAAGGGCCCGCGGCCCAUCAGGUCGUAGGUGGGGUAACGGCCUACCUAGCCAAUGGCGGGUAGCUGGUCUGUGAGGACAGACAGCCAGACUGGGACUGAUACUCGGCCCAGAGGAAUACGGGAGGCAGC
rnacentral:rRNA from 1 species